CCUACGGGUGGCUGCAGUGGGGAAUAUUGCACAAUGGGGGAAACCCUGAUGCAGCGACGCCGCGUGAGUGAAGACGUAAUUCGUUUUGUAAAGCUCUAUCAGCAGGGACGAAAAUGACGGUACCUGAGUAAGAAGCCCCGGCUAACUACGUGCCAGCAGCCGCGGUAAUACGUAGGGGGCAAGCGUUCUCCGGCUUUACUGGGUGUAAAGGGAGCGUAGGCGGGAGUUUAAGUCCGGAGUGAAAGGCGGGGGCGCAACCUCCGGACUGCUCUGGAAACUGGACGGCUGGAGUGCAGGAGAGGUAAGUGGAAUUCCUAGUGGAGCGGUGAAAUGCGUAGAGAUUAGGAGGAACACCAGUGGCGAAGGCGGUUGACUGGACUGUAACUGACGUUGAGGCUCGAAAGCGUGGGGAGCAAACAGGAUUAGAUACCCCAGUAGUC
rnacentral:rRNA from 1 species